AGAGUUUGAUCCUGGCUCAGGAUGAACGCUGGCGGCGUGCUUAACACAUGCAAGUCGAGCGAAGCGCUCACGCGGAAUUUUUCGGAAGGAAGCGGGAGUGACUUAGCGGCGGACGGGUGAGUAACGCGUGGGUAACCUGCCCCAUACCGGGGGAUAACGGUAAGAAAUGACCGCUAAUACCGCUUAAGCGCGCGAGGCCGCAUGGCCGCGCGCGAAAAACUCCGGUGGUAUGGGAUGGGCCCGCGUCUGAUUAGGUAGUUGGCGGGGUAAGGGCCCACCAAGCCGACGAUCAGUAGCCGACCUGAGAGGGUGGCCGGCCACAUUGGGACUGAGACACGGCCCAAACUCCUACGGGAGGCAGCAGUGGGGAAUAUUGCGCAAUGGGGGAAACCCUGACGCAGCAACGCCGCGUGAGUGAGGAAGUAUCUCGGUAUGUAAAGCUCUAUCAGCGGGGAAGAAAGAGGACGGUACCCGACUAAGAAGCCCCGGCUAACUACGUGCCAGCAGCCGCGGUAAUACGUAGGGGGCGAGCGUUAUCCGGAUUUACUGGGUGUAAAGGGAGCGUAGACGGCGUCGCAAGUCUGAAGUGAAAGCCCGUGGCUCAACCGCGGAACCGCUUUGGAAACUGCGAGGCUGGAGUGCUGGAGAGGUAAGCGGAAUUCCUGGUGUAGCGGUGAAAUGCGUAGAUAUCAGGAGGAACACCGGUGGCGAAGGCGGCUUACUGGACAGUGACUGACGUUGAGGCUCGAAAGCGUGGGGAGCGAACAGGAUUAGAUACCCUGGUAGUCCACGCGGUAAACGAU
rnacentral:rRNA from 1 species